rnacentral:rRNA from 1 species
UACGUAGGGUGCAAGCAUUGUCCGGAUUUAUUGGGCGUAAAGAGCUCGUAGGCGGCUUGUCACGUCGGGUGUGAAAACUUGGGGCUCAACCCCAAGCCUGCACUCGAUACGGGCUAGCUAGAGUGUUGCAGGGGAGACUGGAAUUCCUGGUGUAGCGGUGAAAUGCGCAGAUAUCAGGAGGAACACCGGUGGCGAAGGCGGGUCUCUGGGCAACUACUGACGCUGAGGAGCGAAAGCGUGGGGAGCGAACAGG